UUCCGGUUGAUCCUGCCGGAGGUUACUGCUAUCGAGGUUCGACUAAGCCAUGCGAGUCGAAUGUAGCAAUACAUGGCGAACUGCUCAGUAACACGUGGACAACCUGCCCUUAGGACGGGGAUAAACCCGGGAAACUGGGUAUAAUACCCGAUAGGUCUCGAUUGCUGGAAUGCAUCGAGAUUUAAAGCUCCGGCGCCUAAGGAUGGGUCUGCGGCCUAUCAGGUAGUAGUGGGUGUAGCGUACCUACUAGCCUACGACGGGUACGGGUUGUGAGAGCAAGAGCCCGGAGAUGGAUUCUGAGACACGAAUCCAGGCCCUACGGGGUGCAGCAGGCGCGAAAACUUUACAAUGCUGGCAACAGCGAUAAGGGAACCUCGAGUGCCAGGUUACAAAUCUGGCUGUCGAGAUGCCUAAAAAGCAUUUCAUAGCAAGGGCCGGGCAAGACCGGUGCCAGCCGCCGCGGUAACACCGGCGGCUCGAGUGGUAACCGUUAUUAUUGGGUCUAAAGGGUCUGUAGCCGGCCGGAUAAGUCUCUUGAGAAAUCUGGCGGCUUAACUGUCAGGCUUUCAGGAGAUACUGUCUGGCUCGAGGCCGGGAGAGGUGAGAGGUACUUCAGGGGUAGGGGUGAAAUCUUGUAAUCCUUGAAGGACCACCAGUGGCGAAGGCGUCUCACCAGAACGGACCUGACGGCAAGGGACGAAAGCUAGGGGCACGAACCGGAUUAGAUACCCGGGUAGUCCUAGCCGUAAACGAUACUCGCUAGGUGUCGGCCACGGUGCGACCGUUGUCGGUGCCGUAGGGAAGCCGUGAAGCGAGCCACCUGGGAAGUACGGCCGCAAGGCUGAAACUUAAAGGAAUUGGCGGGGGAGCACCACAACGGGUGGAGCUUGCGGUUUAAUUGGAUUCAACGCCGGG
rnacentral:rRNA from 1 species